ensembl:snRNA U4 U4 spliceosomal RNA
AGCUCUGUGCAGUGGCAGUAUUAUAGCCGAUGAGGUUUAUCUGAAGCAUGAUUAUCGCUAACUAAAUGUCCCCACAGACCUCUCUGUCUCCCAAUGGAGGACAGCAGUGAAGUGGUAUAGCCAAAUUAACACAAAGGUU